UCCAGCCUGGUCCUGUCUCCCCUUGCUCUCCCAGCUGUCCCUGGCUCUACUUACGCUCCACCUUCUAUCUAUAACAAACUUCCUCCUCCACCAUAACUAGGAGGAGCUAUGUCCUCUCCUUUCCUUUUUAUUUCUUUUUCUUAUUCAUCUGGUGCUGAAAUGGCGGGAGUGGUUUAAAUGAGUUUCCUCCCCAAGGAACCAGGCUGCUCUGAACCAAGCUGCUGACCUGACUCUUCUAAGUGAACUCAUUCAUCAAGGCAGGAACAGGAGGUGGAAGAGGCUGCUCAAACCACGCUGACCAGGAAGUAGAGAGGCCAGUGCUGACAUCAUCCUUCUUCAAGGGUUCAUCCACAGUGACCUAACUUCCUUCCACUGGGAUCUAUCUCUCAAAAGUCUUGCAGCUCCCAAGAUCACUGCCAGCCUGGACCAGCCCUUGACACAGGAGCAUUUUAGGAGUCACUUAAUAGCCAAACUAUAGUACUACCAGACUGCGCAUCACUAGCUUGGGAGAGACCAAGAGUCAUCACUUGAGGCUGUACCCUGGACCCGAGAGCCAGAAUGAAUCUUUUCUCCUUACGCUGCCUUCGUCAGGUGCUCGGACACAGGCAUAGAAAAGUAACUGAGGGACCAGGAGAUCCAUCCGGGAGGAACCUUCGUCUGGCGACAGAUGGAGAUAGAGACAGAGACCCACAUCAGAGCACUGGACUGAGCUCCCAAGGUCCAGUUGAAGAGCAGAAGGAGGGAGAAGAUGAGCAAGGAAGUCAGGACCGCGA